AACGCGAAGAACCUUACCUACCCUUGACAUCCUGCGAAUCCCGAUGAGAGUUGGGAGUGCCGAAAGGAACGCAGAGACAGGUGCUGCAUGGCUGUCGUCAGCUCGUGUUGUGAGAUGUUGGGUUAAGUCCCGUAACGAGCGCAACCCUUGUCCUUAGUUGCCAGCAUUAAGUUGGGGACUCUAAGGAGACUGCCGGUGAUGAACCGGAGGAAGGCGGGGACGACGUCAAGUCAUCAUGGCCUUUAUGGGUAGGGCCACACACGUGCUACAAUGGGGCAUACAGAGGGUCGCCAACCAGCAAUGGGGAGCCAAUCUCAGAAAGUGCCUCGUAGUCCGGAUUGGAGUCUGCAACUCGACUCCAUGAAGUUGGAAUCGCUAGUAAUCGCGAAUCAGCUAUGUCGCGGUGAAUACGUUCCCGGGCCUUGUACACACCGAUAGC
rnacentral:rRNA from 1 species